rnacentral:rRNA from 1 species
UGGUUGUCGUCAGCUCGUGUCGUGAGAUGUUGGGUUAAGUCCCGCAACGAGCGCAACCCCUACGUUUAGUUGCUAACGCGUGAAGGCGAGCACUCUAGACGAACUGCCGUUGACAAAAACGGAGGAAGGUGGGGAUGACGUCAAAUCAUCAUGCCCCUUAUGUUCUGGGCUACACACGUGCUACAAUGGCCGGUACAGACGGACGCAAAGCCGCGAGGUGGAGCAAAUCCUAAAAAAGCCGGUCUCAGUUCGGAUUGCAGGCUGCAAUUCGCCUGCAUGAAGUCGGAAUCGCUAGUAAUCGCAGGUCAGCAUACUGCGGUGAAUACGUUCCCGGGCCUU